CUCGACAGCGGCGGCGGCGGCGGCGGCGGCGGCGGCGGCGGCGGCGGCGGCGGCGGCGGCGGCGGCAGCC
rnacentral:miRNA from 14 species